AUGAAAAUACUUUUGAGUGAGUGCUCAGUUCUUUCAUUAGGUCCCAUCUGCUGCGCUUGGCGCAUGCUCCGAUUACGCCAAACAUCCGUGGGGCACAGCUUGCUCCCGACAGCCGCCAAGCCAUGCCUUCACCCCCAGUUCUGCCACACCACCUUGGAGCAUCGCCAGCCCACCUUCCCAGGCACCAUCACCCGUCGUCCAACCUCCCUCCCUGGCCAGGGGAGGAGAGGGGUCCUGAAUCUGGGCCUGCUCCUGGAGAGAUGGAACAGGGGAGCUGGACUCUGCAGUGCUGGGCAAGAAGGUCCAGCAAGGCAGUCGAUUGCACGAGGGCCAAGAGGAGCAGGUGAAGGAGGUGGUGAGGACGUCGGAGGUGGUGGUGGUGAGGACGUCGGAGGUGGUGGUGGUGAGGACGUCGGAGGUGGAGGUGGUGAGGACGUCGGAAGUGGUGGUGGAUGGCGGCGGCUGCGGCUUGAAACGCCGGCCAGGGGGAGGGGGGGAGAGCAAACACGAAAGCAAGAUAGCUGA
rnacentral:rRNA from 1 species